UACAGAGGGUGCGAGCGUUAAUCGGAAUUACUGGGCGUAAAGCGCACGUAGUCGGCUUUGCAAGUCGGGUGUGAAAUCCCCGGGCUCAACCUGGGAACUGCAUCCGAGACUGCAUUGCUAGAGUAUGGGAGAGGGAAGCGGAAUUUCUGGUGUAGCAGUGAAAUGCGUAGAUAUCAGAAGGAACAUCAGUGGCGAAGGCGGCUUCCUGGACCAAUACUGACGAUCA
rnacentral:rRNA from 1 species